AAAUGUUUUAUAAAUUCCCGUACCUUUUCUAGGUAUUGAUGCAUCCUUGUUUUCCUGGCUGUAUAAGUCCCCAGCAUUUGUUAACCACGAGUUGUGAAUCACUCUUGAUUAUAAUCUGAUAUAUGUCAAGUUCUCGUGUCAAUUCUAGACCUGCAAUCACUGCCUCAUACUCUGCAAUCGGAGGAUAUGGACCUUUUGUUCUCUGCCCUUCU
rnacentral:lncRNA from 1 species